rnacentral:rRNA from 1 species
AUGAUCAUCCCUGCCCAUGCGUUGUCUGACGUGGGCUGCUUCAGACUGCUCGGGUCGCUCAGGACCCGGGAUCGCGUGGGGCACAAGGCCAACGCUGAGCCGACCUGUUUGGCAAAACACGAUGCUUAGCAGCGUCCGACGUAUAAAUUCUUUGAUCCAAUCUAAGGUUGAAAUCAAUCUUAGAUGAGCCUGUGAGAUCUAAGAGAAAAAAUAACAUCUAAAUUAUUCGAUGGCAGACGUAACGAUCUGAAGAGAAAUCGACAACGGAUGUUGUCAUGCAUGCGUGGGUCACCCAGAUCUCUAGUCAUGAGAAUUAUUUUUCCUAGUCUCUACUCCUAAUGAAGCAGUUGGUAGUCUCCGCCGGUCAAUUUUCGUCCCAUCAUUUUCGUUUGAUUUUUUUUCAUAGGUUAACCUUCGUACUUCGUAGGUUAUUUUGGUUCCGUCCACCACCUCCCCUCCGCUGGUUUUUCCGUCGCGACAGAACCAAUCCCUCGCUAGCCCUACCUCAUCUCCCGUCUCCAGUCGCAGCCGCCGCCGCACCCCAACCCAACCCCGCCGCCGGCGAUCUCCUCGCCCCCCUGCGCCGCCGCCCCCAACCUUCUAUUCCUCUCCCAAGGGAAGGGAAGGCAAGGGAAGGGAAGGGAAGGGAGAGGGAGUGCCCAGAUCCACGGCGGCAUCAGCGCGCUGUCGUCGACCUAAUCCGCGUCCGUCCUCGAGGGAGGUCGGCCAUGGAGGUCCGACGCGGCCCGGCAGCAGCCAUGGACGGACGGAGACGCCCCAAACCCUACCCGGGACGACGCCUCAACCUUCAAGGACGCGCGUCGGCGACCGCAGAUCUCCGGUGACGGCUAUGUUGAGAUGACUGCCCCGGAUCUGGACGCACAACCUGCAGCUGCAGCAGCAGUUGGACGACCGAACGCACGAGCCCUCCCUCCCUCCCUCAUGGCUCUGCUUCCUCCUACCCUGCCCCCCUCACGUGGGUGUGCGGCGGACGUAUGACUGCUACCUGCACAAGCGGAUGGCCCUGCGAGCCAGACCAACCUCCAGCUGCUGUGGCGUACCACGGGUAGAUUUAUCCCAACGAGGAAACAAGGAGCCCAAAAAUUAAAUUAAAACAAAUCGACGCCAAUAGCGAUGGGGCGCCGACAGACCAUGACGCUUGAAGAUAUGGAGGCGACAAAUCUGUGCUUAUCCCCUCUUGGUGAUAACUCUAGCCGAGCCCCUCUUGGUGACAUUCCUAAUCUUGAGCAUCCUUCCCAAAUGACUCCAGUGCCCGUGCCAGAUCCAAGGCAUGGAGAACUCCAAGGAGUUUGCUGACAAGCUGUUCGGGAUAUGUCGAGGCAGAGGAACAUUGAGCCGGAUGAAGGCAUUAACAAGGAUCGGCUCAGAGAGGUGGAACAUGAACAUUGAUGGGAUGCUCACAGAAGAUGAGGUCAAGAAGGUGGCUACGCAAAUGAUCACAGAGAAGACUACUGCUGGGCCUUUUGAUCGACCAUGCCAUUCAAAAAGCUCUUUAGUGCAGUUUGCAACAACAAAAAUCAGAGGAUUGGUCGUUUUUCUUGCGAGGUAUUCUGAAGAAUUUAAAUCAGCGGCAAUGAGUGGCGAUCAUGAAGCAGGAAAAGUUCUUGCGAGGUAUUCUGAAUAUUCUGCAGGUGCUGUCGCAGGUGUUGAGGAGGCCGAAGCAAAAGCAGCCCUCAUUGGGUUGCAUGCUCUCAAGGAUCUACAGGGCCCCGUGAUUUUGGAAUUUGACUGCCAAAUUCGGAUUAAGGAACUGAUGACAGGGAAGCAGUCCCUCUCCCCCUGCUAUGGACUGCUAAGAGACAUCAAGCAAGCACUAACAAACUUUUCGGAUCAUAGUAUCAGUAGCGUGGGGAGAUUGUGCAAUGCCCUUGCUGAUGAGCUUGCAGCGUUGGCCAAGAAUUCAGAACACCAGGAGAGGAUUGCGGACGUACCGGACUGCCUCCGCCCGCUUAUGAUCUCUGAAUUUAUGGUUUCAGCAGAGCAGCUUUACUACUCUGAAUCUCAAAAAGAAAAAGGUUGUGCCUCUCCCUCGGAUAAUCAUGGCAAUUUCAAGGGGUAAAACUAAGGGAGAAUUACCGGUAGGGGAUAGAGCCAACGGCGGCCGCGUUGGAGCCCACGGCGUUCACCACGACCAUCGAACGCGGAGACGGUGCCCCCGCCGGCCUCAAAGUUAUCGUCACCGUCUGCUUCCUCGCCCUCGAAGAGGCUCCAUGAUGCUGGACCCCCGCCACCCCUGCGUAAGCCACCGGCAACCGAAGCCAACAGGACCUCGCGUGAGAUGAGCUCCUCCCGUGGUCUUGCGCCGCCGUCGGCCCGCGAGUCACCGGCCACCUCGCCGGAGAUGAGCACCGCCGCGGAUCCGGCCGGAACGGGACCGGAUUGAGCACCAGCGCCCGGAUCAAUGAGUCCCUGCGUCCGUCGUCGUCCGUCGCGCCGCACCCAGCUCGUCGGAGCCCCGAGCCCCGCGCUGCACCUCUCCUGCAUCCCCAGCCUGCACUUAUCCCGGUGCUCGAGGCCGCCACCAUUGGGGCCGCUCCUCUUACUUGAGCGUCCUUCGCCAUGUACCUAUCGUCCUCCUCCAGCCGAGGCUGUUGCAGGACCAGCGGCGAUCUUCGUCGCGCGGCAACUGCCGAUGCAUGCAACAAAUGCGGUGGUCGAUGGUCGGAGUCGCACGGUUGCGGCAGGAGCUCAUCGACGCGCGCGGCGGAUGCGCCGGGGGAAGGGAGGGGAGACCGGGAGCGAGAGAGGUUGAGUGAGUGGAGAGGAGAGGAGAGACCGAGAGAGUACUGGGGGAUAAGGUAGCGUUCCAUUUGGUGCCG